UAAUACGUAGGUGGCAAGCGUUGUCCGGAAUUAUUGGGCGUAAAGCGCGCGCAGGCGGCUCCUUAAGUCUGAUGUGAAAUCUUGCGGCUCAACCGCAAGCGGUCAUUGGAAACUGGGAGGCUUGAGUGCAGAAGAGGAGAGUGGAAUUCCACGUGUAGCGGUGAAAUGCGUAGAGAUGUGGAGGAACACCAGUGGCGAAGGCGGCUCUCUGGUCUGUAACUGACGCUGAGGCGCGAAAGCGUGGGGAGCAAACAGGAUUAGAUACCCUGGUAGUCCACGCCGUAAACGAUGAGUGCUAAGUGUUAGAGGGUUUCCACCCUUUAGUGCUGCAGCUAACGCAUUAGGCACUCCGCCUGGGGAGUACGGCCGCAAGGCUGAA
rnacentral:rRNA from 1 species